rnacentral:lncRNA from 1 species
CCUGUCCUGUUUUCUCUGUCCAAAAUGGACAGGAUCCGAAAUAAGGAAAAAUUAGGCCUUUCCAUUUUAUCUUAACUCAUAUUCACAACUAAAACUUUUGUUAUUUUUCCCUAUAAGAUAAGUUUUUCCUUAUGACAUAAAAUGUUUAUGUUGGGAUAAUUGGAGAACUCUAUUAAGCAUCAUGAUAGCUUAUUUAUGUAAGAGUGGAUUUGGUCAUAAUUCCAUCCCUUAAGUGGUUUUAGUUUUUAUGUGUUGCAUUUCUUUGUAAAAUCAUUAUGAAGGUUCUGGAAGAAAUGAUUAGUGAGGAAGGAUCAUAUUUUAAGGUCUGUGUUUCAUUCAGAUUCCUGUAAAGUCUGUUGUUUUUUCUUUAGAUUGAAAACUGACUUUACAUUGACUCAGGGAUCUAAGACAAAGCAGAUAGUGUGUUUUUGCCUCUUUCUGUGAAGAUGUCUGCUUUAUGUAUCCUUGCAUUCACUAUUAAGAUUUAGAGACCCAGACCGGGCGUGGUGGCUCACGCCUGUAAUCCCAGCAUUCUGGGAGACCGAGGCGGGCGGAUCACGAGGUCAGAAGAUUGAGACCAUCCUGACUAACACUGUGAAACCCCGUCUCUACUAAAAAUACAAAAAAUAAUCCGGGCGUGUUGGGUGUCUGUAGUCCCAGCUACUCGGGAGGCUGAGGCAGGAGAAUGGCGUGAACCCGGGAGGUGGAGCUUGCAGUCAGCCGAGAUCGUGCCACUGCACUCCAGCCUGGGCGGCAGAGCGAGACUCCAUCUAAAAAAAAAAAAAAAAAAAAAAAAAAAAAAAGAUUUAGAACACAAAUCAAAUAUCUGGAUAAUUAAAUCCGUAUUUAAAAGGCACACAUAGAUACUCAGUAAAUGUUUUUUAAAUGGAUGAGAACUGCAAGUGAACUAAUGGUAUUUUAAGGUAAGGCACCUAGGCUGGAAGCGCUAAUUUUAUGACUUCUGCAAGGUAUUGACUCUUAAUUCCAUCAUGACUUGAUAUUGGCUGCCAAAAUGAUAUAUGUGCCUCAUAUCUUCUCACUAAACCACGUAAUUUUUGUUUUAAAAAGCCAGCACAAUCAAGAGACAGACAAUUAUAUGAAAAGCAUUUAUUGAUGAGAGGAGUAAUGUACAAUAAAAGAGCUGGUUAAAUGUUUAUGAAAUGAAAGCCUGUUGUUUAUUGAAAGAUUCUUUUCUUCUUUUACUGGUUUCAGUUAUUUGCAAGUUGACAAAUUGUGAUCAAUACUCUGUUAUUGGUCUGAUAAUUAAUGGAUGAUGGCCUGUCUCUAUGAAUUGUAAAUGAUGGGUGCUAAUUAACAUUUGUUUUGAUUACUUGGUAUUUAGUUGUCAAAGACAGC